rnacentral:rRNA from 1 species
ACUCAAAUGAAUUGACGGGGGCCCGCACAAGCAGCGGAGCGUGUGGUUUAAUUCGAGGCAACGCGAAGAACCUUACCUGGGCUUGACAUGGACAUGGUAGUGAAGCGAAAGCGGAACGACCCGCAAGGGAGUGUCCACAGGUGCUGCAUGGCUGUCGUCAGCUCGUGCCGUGAGGUGUUAGGUUAAGUCCUGUAACGAGCGCAACCCUUACUGCCAGUUACAAGUGUCUGGCGGGACUGCCGGUGUGAAACCGGAGGAAGGUGGGGAUGACGUCAAGUCAGCAUGGCCUUUAUGUCCAGGGCGACACACACGCUACAAUGGCCGGUACAGAGGGAUGCGAUACCGCGAGGUGAAGCGAAUCUCACAAAGCCGGUCGUAGUUCGGAUUGCAGGCUGCAACCCGCCUGCAUGAAGCUGGAGUUGCUAGUAACAGCCGGUCAGCCACACGGCUGUGAAUACGUUCCCGGGCCUUGUACACACCGCCCGU